rnacentral:rRNA from 1 species
UACGGGGGGGGGCAAGCGUUGUUCGGAAUUACUGGGCGUAAAGGGCUCGUAGGCGGCCAACUAAGUCAGACGUGAAAUCCCUCGGCUUAACCGGGGAACUGCAUCUGAUACUGGAUGGCUUGAGUUUGGGAGAGGGAUGCAGAAUUCCAGGUGUAGCGGUGAAAUGCGUAGAUAUCUGGAGGAAUACCGGUGGCGAAGGCGGCAUCCUGGACCGGCAUUGACGCUGAGGAGCGAAAGCCAGGGGAGCAAACGGG